UCACUUUUUUAUAUAUUUACAUAUCAAUCCAUAAUUAUAUUUAGAAACAUCAAAAUAUAAUCUCAGAAUAAAGAUUGGGUGCAAUACGACUCGUAGAUAUGUUUCAUAUAUGUUUUGAAUCCCUGACCUAACCUUACAGGCAAAGUUGUUGAUUUGCUCUUCUCUGAUACCUAGAAAAAGAAACCGAAAAAUACGCACAUACAUUCAGGUUCCAUGUUCGGCCCCAGCACUAUAGCAGUGAAAAAGACUUCCUCAUUUCUGAAACUGUAGCUAUUAAAUUCACAGGCUGGCCCAUGUUAUUUUAGCCUCUUCCAAGCUAAGCCCAUGUGCACCACUUCCUCUCUCUCCAGCUGCCACCAUAAUUUCCUUCUCUGUAAAGGCCAUAGCUAAUACACUGGCACCAUUUUUUGGGGGUCUUAAUAUUCUUUUUGUGACCACGUCCAGCAAUGAACACAAUCCCAGUUCUUCUUCAGUUUCAGCACUGACAUGACGAGAGAAAAGAAACGUAAAGUUACAGUUGUAAAUUCAGUGGAGACAAACAAGGAAUUGGAAUAUCUAUGGAGCAUUACAAGAAUUGGAUACAAGCUAUAGCCUCAGCUUGGGGUUUGAUGUUGUUGAUAGGUCUUAUGUGUUGCUGUCUCAGUACCAAACCUCGCCAACAUGGAGACGUUAACGGUGGUGGCGGAAUCGGUGGCUGCACCUGCGACGGUGGUUAUGCCCGUGUGUGAAUCUUAUGUAUCAUGAUUUCCGUCUACUAUAAGUAGUUUGGUUUCUUUCUUUUCUUUUGAUUCUUUUUCUCUUUUAGUUACUCUUUCUAUUUUCUUUUUCUUUUUCUCUUUUUAUACUUGCACAUAAGUUUUGUGGGAUUUUUAUUUAAUUUUUAUUUAUUUUUAUAGAAUUAAUUCUCAGCACUUUCAAUAUGUUUAUAAAAUCUGCUUUGAGAGUUAAUAGUGUGAAUAAAAAAAGAAGGAAAAAAUUGCAAUAAAAAACUAUUUCCUUGUAAUAAUUCAUAAAUUUUUAAACAUGCUAAAGUCACCAAUUAAACUAAAGGGCGAAAAUCAAAAUUAUAGAAAUUUGAAAACCGAAAAUAAUUUGGUUUGGUUUGUUUUUUUUGGUUGGAUACAAACUCUGCUCAUCCCCAUAUAGGACAAGCGCGACAGUUAAGCCAAUGCAAACGACCUUACAACGCAUUUUAGUUGUCUAGUUGUAAUGUCGUUUCCAACGUUAACUCGUUGGAGAAAAGGAG
rnacentral:lncRNA from 1 species